AUUGAACGCUGGCGGCAGGCCUAACACAUGCAGGUCGAGCGGAUGAAGGGAGCUUGCGCCUGGAUUCAGCGGCGGACGGGUGAGUAAUGCAUAGGAAUAUGCCUGGCAGUGGGGGAUAACGUCCGGAAACGGGCGCUAAUACCGCAUACGUCCUGAGGGAGAAAGUGGGGGAUCUUCGGACCUCAAGCUAUCAGCUGAGCCUAGGUCGGAUUAGCUAGUUGGUGGGGUAAAGGCCUACCAAGGCGACGAUCCGUAACUGGUCUGAGAGGAUGAUCAGUCACACUGGAACUGAGACACGGUCCAGACUCCUACGGGAGGCAGCAGUGGGGAAUAUUGGACAAUGGGCGAAAGCCUGAUCCAGCCAUGCCGCGUGUGUGAAGAAGGUCUUCGGAUUGUAAAGCACUUUAAGUUGGGAGGAAGGGCAGUAAGUUAAUACCUUGCUGUUUUGACGUUACCAACAGAAUAAGCACCGGCUAACUUCGUG
rnacentral:rRNA from 1 species